ACGUGUCGUUCUGUCCGUAACUAACUUUCCAAGUUUCGCAUCCACUGCUCUUGAGAGAGGAUGCUGUGAAACAGAAUACAAAAUGUGUUCCAGCCUGUGCUACCCCCACAACCCAAGAGGAAGCAUCAAAUGAAACACAUUUCUCUUCACACAAGAUGAUUACAAUCUCUCAGCCCGAGAACUGCUCCCUUCUUGCAGGGAAAAGGCAGCAGAUGGUAACCCAUGACGAUCAGUUCCUCAGCAAGACUGCAUUCCCAUCCAAAGAAGACUUGCAAGAAAGAAAUUAUGAAGAAGCACACCAGGAUAAAGACAAGGAAAUAAUGAAGAAAUUUGGUCUUGUUAAAGGUGUAAGAGUUGUUCUCAACAGGCAAAGUGUCUCUGAGCUUAGGAAGUGGACUGCCAAACCUUCUUCAUGUAAAAAGAAAGAUUUCUUUUUAGGGCCAUUAGGACAGAGAACUGAGGAAAGUGCCACACAUACUUAACUCUCUGUACAUAAUAUGGAGCAUACUUCACUUUGAAGUAUUUCUUAUACAGCAUUAGUAUAAUUCUCGAAUAUUUAUGCAUUUAAUCACAUAACAUAAAACACUUUCUCCAAAAACUGCAGAUAAAAUGCCAGCUACUGCUGAAGUCUUUUCUGACUCUGCCUUCUCUUUGGCACUCUUACAGCUGCAACUGAAAGUAGAAAAGGUGCCUGCUGAUCUCUUACUGAUAGCAAUGUUUUGCAGUCUGUCCCUGCCAGUCUGUGUCUCGUAGGCAGAAACAGGAAGCUCUCCACACCCGUGCUAGGCUUUUUCUGGUUUGAGCAUUGCUAUUAAUUUCAAGUGAAGGUGCCAGAAGUGCAAGAUGUGUGUUUAUAGUCAUCGACCUGCUCUGGAGAAAGUCUUGCCCUAUGGCUUUGCUUAUAAGUAUUAUUUGGCAGUUUUGCCUGGUAUCAGAGCCUCUGGGAAUAGGUGUUUGCUUUCUCUAAUCCCUGACAUUUUCAAACUCACAGUUCAGAUUCACCUCUUGUUUCCAUUUUGUAUUUUUCUACAACAAAGCUCUUAAGAUUUCUUCAGCAGGUAGAUUGGACGUGAAUUUCCAGAAUCCUGGAUCAUUUUCAGUAUACCUGUGUUCAAAUUCUUACUCUGCAGAUAAAUUAGUGAUCAAUAAUAAAUCAGUAUUUCUCCUUGAUCUAUUUAUUAUC
rnacentral:lncRNA from 1 species